UGAAACUGCACCAUAGUCCAAUUUCUCCCUCUGCCCAAUUUUACGACCUUUCCAUCUCUUCCACAGGUGUUGGAUCCCAAGAGCACACCCUAAGAAUGUCCUGUAUACUCAUCUCUGUCUCAGAGUUGGCUUCUUGGGCAAUCCAGGCUGUAAUAUUGAUGAAAUUGUGUGGGUGUCAUGUGUUCUGUCCCAAAUAUGGGAGAGAUUUGGGGACUGACUGGGGCAGACGAUUUCAUGCAGCCCUUUCAUGCAUUCUGGAUCAUCUAUGUUUAUUUGUUCCUGCCAUUCGCGUGGCUCUAUUGUUAAGAGAAGAGAAUAUGAGAGAAGAAAAGUUAUGCUCCUUAGAGGCUUUUCCAAUUAACUGUUUGAAGAGACUUUGAAAAAAAUGCCUAAGUGUGAGAUUGCUGAAUUGAGACUGGGCGAAUUCUUGCUCGUUGCCCCUGCUUCUCUGACGCACCAGUGACAACCUCUAGAAGCUUCGAAUUAAGGAAGAUGUACCAAGAGUCUGAGAUCAUUCUUAGCAGACAAAACUUCUCAAGCUGAACAAUUUUAAAGGGUCUCAUUAGAGAAUGAGAAGAUAACUAGUGCAAGAGGAAAUUUAAAGAAUGUUCAGUUGGAUGAGCUUGUUGGAGGAGGGGGGGAAUUCCUACUAUAUUAAAGCCACAGAACUAUAGACAUUUUGGAUUUCUUUGCUUUUAAAUCUCCAGAAGGCAAAAAUCAAAACCCAGUUAUAGAUGUUACAGCCCACAAAUACUAGAAUAGUUUUCUUUUUUUCAAAAUUUAAAAAAGGAUUUGAAAAUUCAUAUGGAAAUACAAGGAACACAGAAUAAUCUAAACAGUCUCGAAAAAGAAGAGCAAAGUUGGAGGGCUUGUGCUUCUCAAUUGCAAAAUUUACUAAAAAGCACCAGUAAUCAGGCCAGUGCAGUCCUGGGAGAAGAACUAACAUAUUGACCAAUGGACCGAAAAUGAGAGUCCAGAAGUAAACCUACAGAUCUGUGGCCAGCUGAUAUAUGAUUAAAGUGCCAAGAUCAUUUAAUGGAGAAAAAAUAGACUUUUCAACAAAUGGUGCUGGUACACGCAAAGAAGUGAGGUUGGAUCUCUACCUUACACUGUAUACAAAAUUAACCAAAAAUGGAUCAAAAGCCUAAAUGUAAAAGCUAAAACAAUAAGCCUCUUAGAAGAAGACAUGGAGUCUUUGUGACCUUGGAUUUGGCAAUGGAUUUUUAGAAAAGACACUGAAAACACAAACAACAAAAGAAAAAAUAGAUAAAUUGGACUUCUCUAACACUGAAAACUUAUUUGUCAAAGUACACUAUUGAGAAAGUGAAAAGGCAACCAACAGAAUGGGAGAAAAUAUUUCCAAAUCAUAGAUUUGAUGAGAGACUUGUAUGUAGAAUACAUCAGGAAUUCUGGCAGUUCAGAACGAGGUAAGUCAGAUGUAAAAACGGGCCAAAGACAUGAGUAGACAUCCUUCUAAAGAAGAGAACUGAAAGACCAAAAACUGUAAGAAAAAAUGCUAAACAUCAUUAGCUAUCAGGGAAAUGCAAAUCAAAACCAGAAUGAGAUAUUAUGUCACACUCUCUAUAAUAAAAAAGAGACAAUAACGAGUAUCAUCGGGAUGUGGAUAAAUUGGGACCCUCAUACAUCGUAAUGUGAGGUGUUGCAGUCAUUUUGGAAAACAGUAUCUACUGGUUCCUCAAAGGGUAGAACACAGAGAUAUCAUAUACAGUAGAGCCCAGCAAUUUCACUCAUAGACACACACUCAGAAGUGAAAACAUACGUCCACACAAAAACUUGCACAUGAAAUGGUCAUAGAAACAUUACCUAAAUAAUUAAAAGGUAGAAAUAAACCAAAUGUCCAUCAACUGAUGAAUGGAUGAAUAAAAUGUGUUACGUUCAUAUAAUGGAAAGUUAUUUGGCCAUAAAAAGGAAUGAAGUACUGACAGAUGCUAUAGUAUGGAUGAACUCUGAAAACAUUAUAUUAAGAAAAGAAGAAAAGAAGCCCAUCAUAAAAGUCUGCAUAAUAUAUGAUUUCAUUUUUA